rnacentral:ncRNA from 1 species
CAUUGGUGAGAAUCCAAUGCCCCGAAAACCCAAGGUUUCCUCUGCAAGGUUCGUCCACGGAGGGUGAGUCAGGGCCUAAGAUCAGGCCGAAAGGCGUAGUCGAUGGACAACAUGUCAAUAUUUCUGUACUACCCCUUGUUGGGACGGAGGGACGGAGGAAGCUAGGUUUGCCGAAACGGUUAUAGGUUUAAGGACACAAGGUGACCCUACUUUUUCAGGGCGAGAAGGGGUACAGAAAAUGCCUCGAGCCG